UGGUUCCAGCUGGUGAGAAAACAAUUUAAUUUUGAGAGUGCACGCCUAGACACCUUAAUUUGGUCUCAACUGACAACUAAACAUUCUGAUUUGUCCUCAUGGUGUCUGGUGACGUAAAAUAUAAAUUUUGAAGGUGUCGAGAUUAUCAUUUUUGUAAGUAGGAGUGUUCAACCAACAUAAUGGAGAUGAGUUGGGGGUGUCUAGAUAUGCAUACUCA
rnacentral:misc_RNA from 1 species